rnacentral:rRNA from 1 species
GGAAGGGGUGUAUUUAUUAGAUAAAAAACCAACGCCCUUCGGGGCUCCUUGGUGAAUCAUAAUAACUUAACGAAUCGCAUGGCCUUGCGCCGGCGAUGGUUCAUUCAAAUUUCUGCCCUAUCAACUUUCGAUGGUAGGAUAGUGGCCUACCAUGGUGGCAACGGGUAACGGGGAAUUAGGGUUCGAUUCCGGAGAGGGAGCCUGAGAAACGGCUACCACAUCCAAGGAAGGCAGCAGGCGCGCAAAUUACCCAAUCCCGAUACGGGGAGGUAGUGACAAUAAAUACUGAUACGGGGCUCUUUUGGGUCUCGUAAUUGGAAUGAGAACAAUUUAAAUCCCUUAACGAGGAACAAUUGGAGGGCAAGUCUGGUGCCAGCAGCCGCGGUAAUUCCAGCUCCAAUAGCGUAUAUUAAAGUUGUUGCAGUUAAAAAGCUCGUAGUUGAACCUUGGGUCUGGCUGGCCGGUCCGCCUCACCGCGAGUACUGGUCCGGCUGGACCUUUCCUUCUGGGGAACCUCGUGGCCUUCACUGGCUGUGGGGGGAACCAGGACUUUUAC